AGGUGCUGCAUGGCUGUCGUCAGCUCGUGUCGUGAGAUGUUGGGUUAAGUCCCGCAACGAGCGCAACCCUUGCCAUUAGUUGCUACGAAAGGGCACUNUAAUGGGACUGCCGGUGACAAACCGGAGGAAGGUGGGGAUGACGUCAAGUCCUCAUGGCCCUUAUAGGUGGGGCUACACACGUCAUACAAUGGNUGGUACAGAGGGUUGCCAACCCGCGAGGGGGAGCCAAUCCCACAAAGCCAGUCGUAGUCCGGAUCGCAGUCUGCAACUCGACUGCGUGAAGUCGGAAUCGCUAGUAA
rnacentral:rRNA from 1 species